UACGGAGGGUGCAAGCGUUAUCCGGAUUCACUGGGUUUAAAGGGUGCGUAGGCGGGUAUAUAAGUCAGUGGUGAAGGCUCCGAGCUUAACUUGGAAACUGCCAUUGAUACUGUAUAUCUUGAAUGUCGUUGAGGUUAGCGGAAUGUUGCAUGUAGCGGUGAAAUGCUUAGAUAUGUUACAGAACACCAAUUGUGAAGACAGCUAACUAAGCGAUAAUUGACGCUGAGGCACGAAAGCGUGGGGAGCAAACAGG
rnacentral:rRNA from 1 species